rnacentral:tRNA from 1 species
GCCUAUGGCCUAGUGGCUAAGGUACAUGACUGGGAUCCCUGAGGUUGAGAGUUCAAGUCCCAAUCCAGCCA